GGAGAGGUGACAGAGCUGGUUGAAUGUACCGGUCUUGAAAACCGGCGUAGGUUAAUAGCUUACCCAGGGUUCGAAUCCCUGCCUCUCCGCCA
rnacentral:tRNA from 2 species